ensembl:snRNA Gm25898 predicted gene, 25898
GUUUCCUUCAGUGGUACAGAUAUUGAAGUUGGAAUGAUACAAAAAAGGGUUAGCAAGGGUUGUUCAAGGGUGACAAGCAAAUUCAUGAAGCAUCUCUUAUACCU